rnacentral:rRNA from 1 species
UACGUAGGGGGCAAGCGUUGUCCGGAAUCAUUGGGCGUAAAGAGCGUGUAGGCGGCUUGGCAAGUCUGACGUGAAAGCCCGCGGCUCAACCGCGGUAGGUCGUUGGAAACUGCCUGGCUAGAGUCCGGAAGAGGUGAGUGGAAUUCCUGGUGUAGCGGUGAAAUGCGCAGAUAUCAGGAAGAACACCAAUAGCGAAGGCAGCUCGCUGGGACGGUACUGACGCUGAGGCGCGAAAGCGUGGGGAGCGAACAGG